rnacentral:misc_RNA from 1 species
AAAAAAAAUACUGUUAUAGUAUUAACAAGACUUCAAUUAGGAAAACACAAAAUAGAUACCUUAGCAUUAGUAGAUUCGCGAUGUACUAAUAGCAUCCUCAAUAAGAAAAUAGUACCUCCAGAACUAAUAAAAACUUCUUCUAAUAUUACUUCAAUGUUCAUUCCUUCUAAUGGUACUUCCUUCAGGAUGCUUUUUUCUUCUAUAUCUCUGCGAGUUACAU